UCUCACAUGAGCUAGAAACCCCUGACAACCUCUCCUGAGCAACCUACGAGCCUGUAGGGCUGAUAUCAGACCUCUAGGUGUACCCCUACUGUUUCCCCUGAAGACAACCUCUGACCCAUCUUGUCCUCUAAACCUGACUACCUUGUCUCUGCAGUCCAAGGAAGCACCAUGAGCGGAUAGCCAAUCCAUCCUUAGAAUGACAUCAAAACCAGUCAAAUUUAGAACCACUAGGUCUGCUGGAAGGCAUCUACUCUCAACAAACACUGGGCUAUACCGGCAGACUGACUCUGCCACUGAUGGAUCACACUUGGGUCCACUGACCCAGAGGGGACACUCUAACCCAGAGACUAUCAAACUCAACCUCUCUACGGCUCUCGGAGCAACAAAAGAAUGAGAUGCACCAGGGUCCAUUAAAGCAUACGCAUCUGAACAACCAAUGAUGAGAUUACCUGACACCACGGUGUUUGACGUGUUUGCCUCAUGCUGUGUCAUAGUGAAGAUCCGAGCUGGAGCUGAUAGACCUUCACCCCGGGAACCUGCUGAAGAAGAGGCUGCCCCUCUCCUUCGGCCUCUGCCACUGCCACUGCCUUGUGUCAUGACUGGAGCUACAGGUUGUGCCACACUGCCUGAAGCUGUCUGCUGGGACGGUGCCAUGAAAGCUGCCCUAGGACACUCCCAUGCCAUGUGUUCCUCCUGCCCACACCUGAAGCAGGCUGUUGUCCCAAAUCGACAUACUCCCUUGUGCGGCUUCCCACACCUCAUGCAUUCUGAACCAUCUGAACCUGAGCUCGAGCCACCACCUAAUCCCAGACCGGACUUUAACCGGUUCCAGAACUUGCUCUUCUUGGUCUUGGAUCUGCCCCACUUUUUACUACCUGAAGCUGCUGCACUCAGAGAAGAGGGAUCUAACUUUCCCCCGCCUGGGGUCUUGGAACCCGAAGACUGUGCCACUGACUAUUUAACUGACCCCUCAAUGAUGGCACUAGCCUCCAUCUUCCGUGCUGCAUCCACAAUAGUGUGGAAGCUCUCCCUCUCUGCUGCAAGGAUUAGGGAGGAAUACCUAAGCUGGAGCCUCAUGGUAUACCUCCUAGCUUUCUUCUGAUCUGAGUCAUAUGCCUGACCCACAUAUUGCAGCAACUCUAGAAACUUGUCGGUGUACUCAUCGACACUCAUCUCCUCUGUUUGCCUUAGCUGUUCAAACUCAAGAACUUUCAGCUCCCUGGGGAAAGCCCAUCCAGCAAACUCAUUUGCAAACUCCUCCCAGGACAAGCUCUCCAACCUCGGGUCCACAUAGUUUUUAAACCACUCUCAUGCUUUCUUGCACUUCAAAGUGAACCCCGCCAUAUGAAUGGCUCUACUAUCAUCUGCCUCCAGCUCAUUUGUUACCAUUUUUACCGUUUUGAGGUACUCAAACGGAUCAUCUCCCGUCUUGAACUUGGGAGCAUCCAGCUUCAAGUAAUCGGUCAUCUUUACCUUGCUCCUCACAGAUGAGCUAGGUUUGGGUGUUUGGAUUUCAGGGGAUACAGGUUCUGCUGGUGGUGGAGGAGGUGCAGCAUUCCCUGGGUUAGGGUUUGCUGUAUUUGGGUAGAAGGGUGAGGGUGGAUACGUGGGGUACUGUGGUGGGUAAAAAGGAGGGUAAGGCAUGUAGGAGGGAUAUGGGUUAAAGCUGGAGUAAUCCAAUGUACCCCCCAUUGGAUACCCUGGGCCCUGUGGAAAGGGUUGAUACUGGGGUGGAUAACCAAACCCCGAGGCCUGAGCGCCUCCUUGCGACUCUCCCAUGCCCUCUUCUGACAUACUCAUGCCCAAACUACCAUAUCUUCUCUAUUCAUCCUCCUCUGAUCCCCUUACAUCAGCUGACAUACCACCCUGAACUGUCCCCCUCCUGCUUACAUCAAAAGACCUUCUAGGGUCCCUUGACGGAACCUCUCUACUUGAUCUACAUGACAUUGCCCUUGGCAAAGUAGGGGGACGGGCAUCCAUGCCCUCAUUCUCUGGUGGGACUCCAGUCAAUCGUGCAGAUCGACGAGUGCCUCGCAUUCUGUUUUCUGAAACACAACAUAUACACAUAAACAUUAGCAUCAUAUGGUUCAUGUGGAAACAUAUGAACCCGCAUCAUACAUAGCAUAUCAAUAAUGCACAUGCAUAUAGUCAUGGCAUUUCACAUCAUCGUCAUGACAGGACUCUAUAUCCUAUCCUAGUGGACAUGAUUUUUCCUAUUGUGCUUGCCCUUCUAUGACAUCUAUGAGCCCGACACUCUCUAGGUCCGACCAUAUGAACCUAGGGCUCUGAUACCACUCUGUAACAACCUAGAAACCGGACUGCUACCGGCACUAGAAUCUAGAUCAACUUAAGGUCGCUGGGACCCUUAGCAAGCCUACUAUACAUCCUGUGUACCUGAUAAAAUCCUAUACAUGAUCAUACAUUUUUAUAAAAACUUUAAACUUUUCAUAUACCAAGCUUGACCUGUGCAUGCACCAUAACUGUAAACAUAAAACCCCACACUAGAGCCCUCAUCAAAUGCUCUAGUGGGGCAACAUAUCAUACGUCAAGCCUGGUUCAACAGAACUCAUCAUUAAAACAUUUCAUAUAGAUCAUGUACAAAAAGGGGAUUACCAUUACUAUUAGGGCCAAGCACAAUACUAAACCAUGAAACAUUUCUCUACAUUACAUUACAUCAUACCAUUUUACAUUACAUGUCCACUACUAAUCUAUUACACUUAACACAACCUUCAACCUUGACGACUUCCCGGUCUAUCCCGAACCUUCAAACCUGGGGGUUAAGGGAAAGGGGUGAGCUACUAAAGCCCAGUGAGCACAACAAUAAAAUAAUUUACUAAACAAAUGCUUUCAUGAAAUGCAUCACAACACAAACAAUUCACAUCACAGAUGGACUUGUCACCAAUAACCCCCUUUCCUCUUGAUCAUAACAAAAUGCCAAGACGCGUGGAAUGGGCAGCCCUGGACUUUCUUACGUGGUGCCAGGACGCGUGGCAUGGGCAGCCCUGGACUUGCUUAUCAUACCAUACCGAGGGCUAAUGGGUCAUCCAAUAUCCAUCCACAUCAACAUCAUAAUAUGCAAUGCAUCAUAUUCGUGAAUUCUUAUGCAAAACAGCCUAAUACAUAUCAUGGCAUUCGUGAUGCAUGGAUCAUGCUAAAUAGAUUUCAUUACUUUGAAAAUAAGAGAAGUUAUGUUCUACUCACCUCUGGCUGAUACUGGACUGACUCUGAAGCAGCUAUCUCACUACUGACCUCCUCUGUUCCUCGGGUCCGAUCCUACACAGGUGGACUCAAAUGAGGGACCAAACAUACUCUAACAUGACCUUAAACAUCUCCCAAAAAAAUCCCCUAAAACAUCAUAAACAUGCAUGGAAAAACAAGCAAAGGAAGGCUGAACAGGGGAUUUUCGGCGGUAGGUUCGGCGGCCGAAGGUCCCUCUAGAGCCGAAAGUCAGGCACUUUCGGGGGUAGGGUUCGGCGGCUGAAAGCCCUUCCAGAGCCGAAAGUCACAACCUUCGGGGGCAGGUUCGGCGGCCGAAACUCCCCUCUAGAGCCGAAAGUCCAAACUUUCGGGGGCGAGCUUAGGCGGCCAAAACUGCCUCCACAGGCAGGUUCGGCGGCCGAACCUGGGCUCUCCAAAAAGGCAGAACCCGAUUCUGCCUUGCAUAUCCAGCCACCCACAACAUCCCAACAUGCAUCAAACUAUACUAAAACAUGCAUAAACACAUUUCCAAGCAUAUAGGGGCAUAAAACUAGCCUAUACCCCAAAAACAUCACAUUUAGCAUACAUUUAUCAUUUAACUAACAUAAACCCUAACAUUUUACAACUAGCCUAAACAUGCAUCAAAACCCUUAACCCCUUCUUAAAACUUACUUAAAACAUCAUAAAAGGCGUGGAUCGACACUUACCUCUUGAAGAUCGAGAGGAGAUGCGGUCCCAAACUCGGAGAUAUGGAGGAACGAGCUCCGGGGGUCUCCAAGCUUCAAAACUUUGAUCUUUAGCUCAAAAAUCUUCAAAACAAGAUGAAAGCUUGUCAAAAACUUGAAAGAUUUGAAGGAAAACAUAAAAUCGACCAAAGGAAGGCGAAAUAUCACCUAUGCCCGAAAAUAGAGAGAGAAAACUCGCCCAUUUUCGUACAAGGGGCCUUAUAUAGGUGGCUGGCCAGACCACCUUUGGGGGGCCAAAGGUGCUUCCGCAAGAGCACAAUGUUCGGCGGCCGAACAUGAGGUUCGGCGGCCGAACCUGGACUCUUUCUCCAUGGUGUUUCUUUCAAAAACUCAUUUUUUUUUCUUCAUUAAAACUAUAAAAACAUGUAAAACAUUUUAUAAAAACAUAAUUUACCCUUCUAGAGGAUUCCGACAUCUGAGAUUCCGCCGGAAAGUAGGAAUUCCGAUGCCGGGGUCUAGCCGGGUAUUACAUUCUUCCCCCCUUAAGAACAUUCGUCCCCGAAUGUUCAACACACAAGCAUAGCAUGGCAUAAAUAUAAACACAUAAACACUAACCUUAAAAGAGAUAGGGGUAUUGCUGGAGCAUAGACUCUCGUGUCUCCCAGGUACAUUCUUCUAUGUUGUGGUAAUUCCAAAGGACUUUCACCAUCGGGAUUUCCUUGUUCCUUAGCUUUCUGAUCUGCAUGUCUAGGAUCCGCACCGGCUGCUCAACAUUGGUGAGAUCUCCUAGGAUCUCCACAUCAGCCUCAUUAAGAACCUUGCCCGGAUCUGACAUGAACUUCUGUAACAUGGAAACAUGGCAAAUCGGAUGGAUUCUCUCCAUUGAAGCAGGUAGGUCCAGCUUGUACGAUACAUUCCCAAUCUUCUGCAAGAUUUCAAAGGGUCCGAUGUACCGUGGAGCUAGCUUACCUUUCUUCCCAAAAUAAAUCACCCCUUUCAUAGGAGACACCUUGAGCAACACCAUAUCUCCCUCCUGAAACUCUGCAUGCUUCCUGCGGACAUCUGCAUAGCUCUUUUGCCGACUCACAGCAGUUUUGAUCCUUUCUCUGAUAAUGGGCACUACUCUGCUGGUGAUCUCUACUAGCUCAGGCCCUGCUAAGGCCCUUUCUCCAACUUCUUCCCAGCAGACAGGUGACCUGCAUUUCCUUCCAUACCAAGCUUCAUAUGGAGCCAUCCCUAUGCUACCAUGAUAGCUGUUAUUGUAGGCAAACUCCACCAAAGGUAGAUGUUGCCUCCAAGAACCGCCAAAAUCUAGCACACACAUUCUGAGCAUAUCUUCUAUGGUCUGGAUGGUCCUCUCUGACUGUCCAUCAGUCUGUGGAUGGAAAGCAGUGCUAAAAUAUAGCCUGGUACCCAUAGCAUUCUGCAGACUCCACCAAAACCUGGAGGUGAACUGGGGUCCCCUAUCAGACACUAUUGAAACGGGAGCCCCAUGCAACCUGACAACUUAAUCAACAUACACCUGUGCCAAUUUGUCCACAGAAUAGCCACUCCUGACAGGGAUGAAGUGAGCAAAUUUGGUCAGUCUGUCCACAAACACCCAUAUGGAGUCCAACCUGUUGGAAGCUGCCGGUAACCCCACCACAAAAUCCAUAGCUAUAUUCUCCCAUUUUCACUUUGGAAUCGACAGUGGGUUAAGCAUUCCAGCUGGCCUCUAAUGUUCCAGUUUCACCCUUUGACAAACCUCAUAGGCGGACACAAACUGUGCCACUUCUCUCUUCAUAGCUGUCCACCAAUAGACUCUUUUAAGAUCCUGGUACAUUUUGGUGGCUCUAGGGUGAACGCUGUAUCUAGCCUUAUGAGCUUCCCUCAUAAUGUCUCCCUUCAGACUCACGUCAUCUGGUACACAUAACCUGUUCCCAUAGCGGAGGAUCCCUUUGCUGUCAAAUCUGAACUCUUCAUUCUUGCCUGACUGAACAUCCUGGAAGUUUUCACUAACUCUGGGUCCUCAUGCUGUUUCUGAGCCACCUGCUCUAGAAACACGGGUGUCACUCUCAUCUGAGCUAUCAAAGCACCUGUACCAGACAAUUCCAACUGCAGCCCUUCAUCAAUGAGCUUGUAAAAUUCCCUCACCACCGGUCUUCUCUCUGCUGUAACAUGGGAUAAACUGCCAAGUGAUUUUCGGCUUAGGGCAUCUGCCACCACAUUUGCCUUACCCGGAUGGUACUGAAUCUUGCAAUCAUAGUCACUAAGCAGUUCCACCCAUCUUCUCUGCCUUAGGUUUAACUCUUUCUGACUCAAGAUGUACUGCAAGCUUUUAUGAUCUGUGAAGAUCUCACAUUUAACCGCAUAAAGGUAAUGCCUCCACAUCUUGAGUGCAAAGAACACAGCUGCCAUCUCUAGGUCAUGUGUAGGAUAAUUCAACUCGUGCUUCUUCAGCUGCCUAGAAGCAUAAGCAAUUACCCUCUUAUUUUGCAUCAACACACAACCUAGUCCCACACGGGAUGCAUCACAAAACACUGUGAAGUCUUCAUUACUGGUAGGCAGAGCUAACACCGGUGCUGACGUUAACCUUUUCUUCAGCUCUUCAAAGCUUUCCUCGCACUGAUCAGACCACACAAACCUCUAAUUUUUCUUGGUCAACCUGGUCAUAGGGAUGGCAAUUUUGGAGAAGUCCUAAACGAACCUCCUGUAGUAACCUGCCAAACCCAAAAAGCUCUUAAUCUCUGUCACUGUACUGGGUUUAGGCCAGUUAGCUACCGCUUCUACUUUCUUGGGAUCCAUUUCAAUUCCCUUUUCUGACACAACAUGUCCCAAGAAGGAAAUACUCCUCAACCAGAAUUCACACUUGGAGAACUUGGCAUACAAGCCGUGCUCCCUCAGGGUCUGCAAAACUAUCCUCAGAUGAUGGGCAUGCUCCUCAGCGUUUCUAGAAUACACCAAGAUAUCAUCAAUGAAGACAAUAACAAAGUGAUCCAGAUACUGACUGAAAACUCUGUUCAUGAGAUCCAUGAAUGCUGCAGGGGCAUUGGUUAGCUCAAACGGCAUUACUAGGAACUCAUAAUGCCCAUAUCUGGUCCUCAACGCCGUCUUCGGCACAUCUUCCUCUCUGAUUCUUAGCUGGUGGUACCCAGAUCUCAUAUCUAUCUUGGAGAAGCAACAUGCUCCUGCUAGCUGGUCAAAUAGAUCGUCGAUCCUAGGUAGAGGAUACUUAUUCUUGGUAGUGACUUUGUUCAACUGCCUGUAGUCGAUACAAAGUCUCAAGGAUCCAUCCUUCUUCUUUACGAACAGUAUGGGAGCACCCCAAGGUGAGGUACUCGGUUGGAUGAAACCCUUGUCUACCAACUCUUGCAACUGCUCCUUUAGCUCCUUCAACUCUGCUGGAGCCAUCCUGUAAGGGGGAAUAGAGAUUGGUCUGGUUCCAGGCAUCACUUCUAUUUUGAACUCUAUCUCCCUAGCAGGUGGUAGUUCUGGAAGCUCGUCUGGGAAGACAUCUGGAAACUCUCUGACUACAGGCACGGAGGCGGGCUCCCUAACAUGACUAUCAAGCUCUCUCACAUGAGCUAGAAACCCCUGACAACCUCUCCUGAGCAACCUACGAGCCUGUAGGGCUGAUAUCAGACCUCUAGGUGUACCCCUGCUGUUUCCCCUGAAGACAACCUCUGACCCAUCCUGUCCUCUAAACCUGACUACCUUGUCUCUGCGGUCCAAGGUAGCACCAUGAGCGGAUAGCCAAUCCAUCCCUAGAAUGACAUCAAAAUCAGUCAAAUCUAGAACCACUAGGUCGGCUGGAAGGCAUCUACUCUCAACGAACACUGGGCUAUACCGGCAGACUGACUCUGCCACUGAUGGAUCACACUUGGGUCCACUGACCCAGAGGGGACACUCUAACCCAGAGACUAUCAAACUC
rnacentral:lncRNA from 1 species